rnacentral:rRNA from 1 species
UACGUAGGGUGCGAGCGUUGUCCGGAAUUAUUGGGCGUAAAGAGCUCGUAGGCGGUUUGUCGCGUCGGCCGUGAAAACUUGGGGCUUAACUCCAAGCUUGCGGUCGAUACGGGCAGACUUGAGUUCGGCAGGGGAGACUGGAGUUCCUGGUGUAGCGGUGAAAUGCGCAGAUAUCAGGAGGAACACCAAUAGCGAAGGCAGCUCGCUGGGACGGUAUUGACGCUAAGGCGCGAAAGCGUGGGGAGCGAACAGG